GAUGAAGAACGCAGCGAAAUGCGAUAAGUAAUGUGAAUUGCAGAAUUCCGUGAAUCAUCGAAUCUUGAACGCACAUUGCGCCCUCUGGUAUUCCGGGGGGCAUGCCUGUCCGAGCGUCAUUUGCAACCCUCAAGCCCGGCUUGUGUGAUGGGUGCCGUCCCCUACGGGACGCGCCCCGAAGGCAAUGGCGGCGUCGCGGUUAUCCGAUCAGCCAAAGUGUAUGGGGCUUUGUCACUCACUUUACGGCCCGGACCGGCGCCAGUCCGAAUCAAUCUUUUUUCUAAAGUUGACCUCGGAUCAGGUAGGGAUACCCGCUGAACUUAAGCAUAUCAAUAAGCGGAGGA
rnacentral:misc_RNA from 1 species